AGUGGAGAGUCUUCCAUCAAGUCGGGAGCCCAGCAAACAAGGUAGCAUCAUUUCACGCCUCAGCGGAAAGAAGAAGACGCCCUCGCCUGACCACACAAGUCUGCUGGAGAUGAAUAACAUGUCUGACUCCGACUCCAGUGACAUCUAAAAUUAACACCAAAUGUUACGUAGAUCAAAAAGAUAAAAAUCAUGUGUUUUUAUGACUCAUUUCGAUUGUCAUAACAUGAACUUGUGAUUAGUUUUGAAUUGAUUUAUCUAACUCUAAAAAAAAGUUCAGCUUCCAAAAUUAUGUUACACCGUAUUACAUGUCUGAAUCUAAAUCAUUAUUUUUCAAAAUAUUUGUGAUAUUUUAUUAAAAUAUUUUUGGAAUGUCAUUUAUGUAUUAUAACAAUAUAGUUUGUUUCAUUAUUUGCCCUCACAAAUUAAUAUUUAAACUCAAAGUAUCUUCUCUGCAUUUAUUAUUAGAAUUACAGCUUUUGUAUGUUUUCUUGUUGUUUAUACAAAUCUACACAAAGUUGUUUACAGAUAUCAAUAAGAUGAUUGUUCACCGUUCAAGUCCUUGGAAUAGAUUUUACAGGAGUAUUUUUAUUAUUCAUGUACAUUAUAUUUUCAUUCUUGUACUUAACAGUCCCAAACACCCACCCCACUGACUCUUGACUUGUCCCAUUUUUUUGUCACAUACCAUAAAUAACCCAAUGUAAUUUCAUGUGUCUUUAGUAGAAUAUGAGGGAAAGCUAAUGACUGAAGUAACAAUAUCCUAUAUUCAAGAAAACUGGGUGGUUUUGAUAUGAUUUAUAGAACGGUGCUCAUUGUUGAAUAGGUUGUUUUACCCACAGAGAGAGAGGUAGUGAUAUGAACUGACUUAAUCCUUUUGUAGAGACCGGUUUAUAACCCAGAGUGAUAUUAUGACUUUCUUUCAAUGAUCAUGAUAAAAAUUGUUGUUGCUAUUAUUUAAAAUGUUGCUUUAAUGUGUGUUUUGAAAUAUAAAUAAAAAAAUCAUUCAUUA
rnacentral:misc_RNA from 1 species